CACCGCGUGGCCGAGCAGAUAGGCGGACGGCUGCAACCCGUCAGACGCAGGUGCGAACCCUGUCGCGGUGUCCA
rnacentral:tRNA from 1 species